ensembl:lincRNA
CGCGCGGGCCGGCGGCGCCCCCGGGUCCGCGCUCCUGCGGCGGGGCUCCGCGGCCGAGACCGGUCCGGGAGGCCCGAAACGCCUCCCACCGGGGGAACUUCUCCGCCGACUUUUGGGGCUCUCGGGACGCAGACCGCCCCAGCGGCGGCCUCGGCCCCGCGAGUUCUGCUGGAAGCGGGGAGGGCCUAGCGUCUCAGGUGAGUUCCCUGUUCCCUAGACCGGCCGGACACCCGGAGGCUGCACUCACCUGGCGGGGCCUCAGACGCCCGGCGGCCUCGCUCGCUUCCCUAAACAGAGGGCUUGCCAGUGUGCGGGGUCCCAGGGAGAAGAAGCUGCUGGGAAGACACUGGAUCGCCCAGGACCCAGCAUGGGUGAAGGGGCAUGUUGAACAGGGCAAAGGUGUGAGUCACCCCUAAUGGAGGUGGGAGAACAGGAGGCAUGGUGGGAGGCCCCAUCCCAACAAGUCACAUUCAUGUUCACAAGGGCUCCUGCCAAGGACCCAUCUUGGAACCUGGAGAUCAGUGUCCCACAUGGCCUUCCCUUUGCUGCUGUAGAUGCAACUUCACCUCCCUGCGUUCCCCUGGCAAGUGGGGUCUGCUGCUUGGGCAGUCACUCCAGGUCUGUCCACGCUGCAGAAGACAGUCACUGUGUGUCCCUCCUACAGAUGGACUGGAUGCUCACCAGCUCCUGCCAAUGGAGAGACAUGAGGCCCUCAUGCAAACUGGCAGCCCUAGAGGAGAACCCACCAUACCUGCUGGACAGAAACAGUACCCAGAACCCUCAGUCUGCCUCUGCCUGACAUGGCCCUGGCUGCCUGGCCAACUGGCUUGUAGAAGAGGGAUAUUGACCUGAGUCAAGGGGACAGAGUUGGAGGCAUUGCAUUGUCACCUAGCAGCAGUAUGUCUGGGCAACAUGUGUUACCUCUCUUCCCCUUCCCCUGCCGGCCAGAUAUCCCUCAGAUGCAUCCUGGAUCCGGUGCUGUUCUUCGAGUAUAUGGCCUGCUUCAAGAUAAUGUACACUGCACAUCAGCUAAAUAAUUGUAAAGCAGCUAGUGUCUCCCAAGACGGAGCCCCCGCAAUGUCAGUGAUUUUGACAGGCAGAGAUGACUGCCACAGAUCGGAGGAUCAUAUCCUCUCAAGACAGCCUCCAGGGAAGAAGCACAGGAGUGACUUUCCAUCUCUUGAAUGUCUUCUUCUCCCUGGGGAAGAAGCACCUAAAUCUCCAGUCCACUUCCUCUCAGGCCCCACCUACCAGAUCUGGGUCACAGGCCCACCCCCUGCUGCCAGGACUGCGCUCUGGGGAGAACAGCUCCCUGGGGAUCAGCAGGCUGCACUGUUGCCCCCUGGAGGAUGCAGAAGGAAAGAGACACAGUGCCCGGACUCGCCAGCUCCGUGAUCCAAAGCUGAGAAGCCCCAGGCAGGCUUCAGACUCCUUUACUCUCUGCCUGUCACACCCCCAGGCCCCUCCUGCCAGGGGGAGCUCAAGGAAGUGAGUCCCCCCAGGUGGCGGGGAAGCCUGUCCUUUGGGAUGGAAAAGCCCAAGGCCGCACCAGCUCCCUGGCCACCAUCGUGCAAAGGCAGCAAGGCGGACAGUUGAAGGACGUGCAUUCUCCAGGGGCUUUGAUUCUUUUGAUGCCUGCUGAUGAAGGACAAGUCACUGUCUAUGAAGGGUCUACAAUGUCCCCAAAUUCUGCCCCUAAUGUCUCUUUAGAAGUCAAGCCUAUCCCUGCUAGUGGCAUUUGGGAGCUGAAUUAUAUCUUCUUUCAAAAAGAAUUAAAAAAGACUUCUCUCCAGAGAAGUAUUCAGAUGCCCAUGAACUCUGCCAUCAAAUAUGAAUAUUCUCUUAAAAAUAAAAAUUAUGGCGCAC